rnacentral:sRNA from 1 species
GCAUCACCAGCACCAAUGUUUCUUGGUUGAUCAAAAUUAGGUGGGUCUUGAACAUCAACUGGUAUGUUCUGUUGAUUCAUAGCAGCUUGUCUGUUCUGAUCACAGGCUGCUUUUGCUUUGGUUUCUUGUAACUCACGAGCUAUUUUGUCAAUUCUAUCUCUGAAUGGUAAUAGGUGCACAGAACCUUUGGAUCGAGUUUGCAUGCACAAAGAUUAGUACCUGUACCACAAAAACGAGCAGACGAAAAUAUGAGUUAGUAACUUGAUAAAUGUAAAAGAACUUGAUCUUAAAAGUUUAUGAUAUCUUGAAUGUAACAAUGCAACAAUGAAUUGACAACGACGCCAAAUUGAUAAGCUGGUUUUUCAGGUCUACUUAUGUGCUGAAGAGUGUGAUUUCAGUUCAAUUCCCCUAAAACACAAACAUGUCGAUGCAGUUAUAGAAGGUGUCAAUCCAGUCCACUGUAUUGCUAGCAAUCAAGAUGUGUACAGAAACAACUAAGUCAAGCCAGAUUAUAAUGAUGAUGGGUUUCUACUAAUAAUCCUAGGUCAGGAUUCAAACAAGUAAAAAUGAGAACUUUAGAGCCCUACUCGAUCACUGGAUCGAGUAGAACCAACAGGUGACAAAAUUAAGAAACCUAAAUGCAAUCAACAGGGGAUACAAAUAGGGGAUACAAAUAACAGGUAAAUAAAAGUGUAAUCAACAGGGGAUAUAAAUAAAUCUAAUAGAAUUUCUAAGGAUGGAUCCAUUGAUAAGGGCAACUCUAGGGUUUAUCAAAUGGCUAAUAGGCGAAAGAUAGAUACCCAUGACGAUAGAUUCAAAAACUGGGUCAAUCCACUGCCGUGACAGAGACCCCCAUAACUCUACCACUUCCUAAUCUCAGCUCUCGUUGAUGAAACAUAGCAGAGAAGGGUUUAAGAAACAAUCUACCAAAGCCAAUAGGCAGACAAGCCAAUCCCUUGGUCGAGUCUACAAAUCUCUGGAAUUCGUAGGUAAGAUAUCCAUUUGAACGUCUUUUGGACGCUGGACGUCUAUGAUCGAAUCUCCACAUUAGCCGGCGAAAACCGCAUAGGGGCCAAGCGAAUCCAGAAGGGUAUAAAUCUAAACACUAACCACCUAACUAACCUAGAGAUUACCCUAAUCUAAUCCAUCCUCAAGAACCCUAAUCACUACUCAUGCAACAUUCUCAAGAACACAAACCAAGAAAUUACUAAAAUCAUACCAAAAUAUAGAUCUAAACAAGCUAAACAACUUUACUUAAACAAUGAAAUGCAAAAACGAAAUAGAUUAAGAGUAAUUAAAGUUUCAAGAUUCAUAAACACAAAGAAAAACUGAAAGAUAAAACAUAGAUCUUUUGGACAAACCCCAAAACGAUCUAUUUAUACUAAAAUGUUGGAAACCCUAGAUUCACUAGAAGACAAGAGACUUGAGGCGCUUUGGGCGAAUGCUCGAUCUUGGGGAUCGAGUAAAGAGGGUGCUGCAAAGUUUGCGCCUUUUUGUCUAUGCUCCGAGUGAUCAAUUGGUCGAGUAGAUGCUUUAUCCUCUCCUAUCCAUAUGCUCAGAUGUCUGGUUGAGUGGGGAAUGAGGAGGAUCCGAAGACGCUUUGAUAGCUCAACAAAUCUUGUAGAGAUGGUCACCCUUGGUCGAGUAAAUGGAUCGAGUAGUGGAUCGAGUAGGAGGGGCGAGUAGAUUAGUCUGCUGCUUUCUUCUGAGGUUGGUCGAUCGAGUAAGAGGGUCAAGUAAACUGCAACAUCCUUUGUAGCAUCCUGGAUCGAGUAAAGAGGUCGAGUAGAAUGAUGCCUCUUCUGUAGCUGCCCAGAUUGAGUGAAUGGAUCGAGUAGAGUCCUUUUAAGCUCCUUUUGCACCUGAAAACAUACCAAAACAUGCAAUGCGAAUGCCAGAUGAUCCUAGAUGCCUAAGUAUGCAAAACAAGCUAAAAUGGUGCAAAAUUAUAUGAUACAAUGAGCAAAUGCAAAGCUAAAUCAUGAUAAACAUACACCUAAAAUGAGUAAAAUACAGUGUUAUCAAAAGACAAGAGAGAACCAGUGUAUAUAUAGUCCUCUAACAACGUUUAGGUUCUUGACUAUUUAGUUAUAUUUAUAAGGAGGUCAACCGGUGUAUUAUAGUCCUCUAGUGACGUUUGGGUUCUUUGAUUACAGCGAAGUUUGGGUAUGACAAGUCAACCACCACGAUAGCAUAACUCAGCCGUAACAUCGAAUAAUCUACUAUAUGUCAGUCGUUAUGUUAAAAUAAUUCAGCCAUCACACGAUUUGUGCGAUGACAAGUCAGCCACCACCUUAGAAAUAACUCAGUUAAACAUCGAAUUAAACUACGAUAACUCAGCCGUCACGAUAUCAGAACUCAGCCAUAGCACGAUUUGAGCGAUGAUAAGUCAGCCCUUACGUUAGCAUAACUCAGCCGUAACACGAAUUGAGCGAUGAUAAGUCAGCCAUUACAUCGAUUUAACCAAUAA